rnacentral:rRNA from 1 species
GGCGGCAUGCUUAACACAUGCAAGUCGAACGCGGUGUUCCGGUUCGCCGGGGCACUGAGUGGCGCACGGGUGAGUAGCGCGUGGGAACCUGCCCUGUUGUGGGGGAUAACCGAGGGAAACCUCGGCUAAUACCGCAUGCGCCGGCCCUCUUGAGAGAGGGGGUCGGGAAAGAUUUAUCGCAAUAGGAGGGGCCCGCGUCGGAUUAGCUAGUUGGUGGGGUAACGGCCUACCAAGGCAGUGAUCCGUAGCUGGUCUGAGAGGAUGAUCAGCCACACUGGGACUGAGACACGGCCCAGACUCCUACGGGAGGCAGCAGUGGGGAAUAUUGGACAAUGGGCGCAAGCCUGAUCCAGCAAUGCCGCGUGAGUGAGGAAGGCCUUAGGGUUGUAAAGCUCUUUCACCCACGACGAUNAUGACGGUAGUGGGAGAAGAAGCCCCGGCUAACUUCGUGCCAGCAGCCGCGGUAAUACGAAGGGGGCGAGCGU